rnacentral:rRNA from 1 species
GGUUAAGCGACUAAGCGUACACGGUGGAUGCCCUGGCAGUCAGAGGCGAUGAAGGACGUGCUAAUCUGCGAUAAGCGUCGGUGAGGUGAUAUGAACCGUUAUAACCGGCGAUUUCCGAAUGGGGAAACCCAGUGUGUUUCGACACACUAUCAUUAACUGAAUCCAUAGGUUAAUGAGGCGAACCGGGGGAACUGAAACAUCUAAGUACCCCGAGGAAAAGAAAUCAACCGAGAUUCCCCCAGUAGCGGCGAGCGAACGGGGAGGAGCCCAGAGCCUGAAUCAGUGUGUGUGUUAGUGGAAGCGUCUGGAAAGGCGCGCGAUACAGGGUGACAGCCCCGUACACAAAAAUGCACAUAUUGUGAGCUCGAUGAGUAGGGCGGGACACGUGGUAUCCUGUCUGAAUAUGGGGGGACCAUCCUCCAAGGCUAAAUACUCCUGACUGACCGAUAGUGAACCAGUACCGUGAGGGAAAGGCGAAAAGAACCCCGGCGAGGGGAGUGAAAAAGAACCUGAAACCGUGUACGUACAAGCAGUGGGAGCCUCUUAAUGGGGUGACUGCGUACCUUUUGUAUAAUGGGUCAGCGACUUAUAUUCUGUAGCAAGGUUAACCGAAUAGGGGAGCCGAAGGGAAACCGAGUCUUAACUGGGCGUUAAGUUGCAGGGUAUAGACCCGAAACCCGGUGAUCUAGCCAUGGGCAGGUUGAAGGUUGGGUAACACUAACUGGAGGACCGAACCGACUAAUGUUGAAAAAUUAGCGGAUGACUUGUGGCUGGGGGUGAAAGGCCAAUCAAACCGGGAGAUAGCUGGUUCUCCCCGAAAGCUAUUUA